GUGUGUGUGUGUGUGUGUGUGUGUACUUCAGACGUGAGUGAGGGUGUGUUGAUCAUAUAGUGAUCGUGUUCCCCUGGAUCAGAGAGAGAGCUGGAGAAUCAUGGAAUAUUGAGACGUGCCGUCAGUGUUUGGAUGAUGUUCCUGAUGACUGCCGAUCGCUGUUCCUGGAACUGUGCAAGGCUUGCGACACACACAGACGGAGCCGUCCCGGAGCCGGAGAUCUCGUCUAGACGCCGUCUCUCCCCUCUGACUGGAACUGAAGCUCGGUGUGUGUGUGUGUGUGUCUGCAUCUGCUCCUCAUGGUCUGAGUCUGCACCGCUGGAACUGUGAACAUCAGCGAAUCCAACAUGAUCAAACACAGAUGGGUUCUUCACAGUCCUCACAAACACAAAUAUUUCAAUGCAAUGAUCAUAGAUUUGAACAGUUGUGUGUAUAAUA